rnacentral:rRNA from 1 species
CGCGUAGGCGGCCUAUUAAGUCAGAUGUGAAAGCCCGGGGCUCAACCCCGGAAGUGCAUUUGAAACUAGUGGGCUUGAGUAUGGGAGAGGGAAGUGGAAUUCCUGGUGUAGAGGUGAAAUUCGUAGAUAUCAGGAGGAACACCGGUGGCGAAGGCGACUUCCUGGACCAAUACUGACGCUGAGGCGCGAAGGCGUGGGUAGCAAACA